rnacentral:rRNA from 1 species
UACGUAGGGGGCGAGCGUUGUCCGGAUUUAUUGGGCGUAAAGAGCGUGUAGGCGGCUUUACAGGUCCGUUGUGAAAACUCGAGGCUCAACCUCGAGACGCCGGUGGAAACCGUAAAGCUAGAGUCCGGAAGAGGAGAGUGGAAUUCCUGGUGUAGCGGUGAAAUUCGUAGAUAUUAGGAAGAACACCGGUGGCGAAGGCGGCCCACUGGAUCGGUACUGACGCUGAGGUGCGAAAGCGUGGGGAGCAAACAGG